CUACAUUUCCUGGUUGUAAGCAAACCGCAAUAUCCAGAAUUCAUAGCGAUUUCAGGACAUAGUAUUGCCCCAGUGAAGGUGUAUCCAGUUGAUCUGGAGAAAUAUGAAAAAGUCUGUUUAUAGCCAGCACUUUCAACCAGGGGAUUUUGAAACUGAACUGAAGUCUCAACGGAUGGGGAUGCCAGGUCACUAAACGUUGAAAAGUCAUGCUAUUCCAUCGAUUUACCCCUUCACUUCAAAGAGGAAGGCAUCCAUCGGCCAACAUCAGUGCAGCAGAAAAUAAAUCGAGCUGAGGCAACGUAGCUAACUAGCUAGUGAACUACAUCUGUUUAUGUAAACCAAAAUCGAGCUCACUAGCUUUAAUAUGCUUGCUGACAUUCCAGAACAAAUCAAUGUAAUUAGCCUGGCGAUGUGAUUUUUAAGUUUGCAAGCUAACGUUAGCUUUGUUAGGUUACAUUACCUGCAGCCUACCGGACCGUAUCUAACCAUUAGCUAGCUAGCUAACUAACUACCGCAGAGGCAAACGUGGCUAGGAGUUCUAUUUAGAGUCCGAUUCAAUCAACAUCUGCAGCAGCAUCAACAUCAAGCUCAGCACCAGGAACUAGUACUAAUCCUGCUGCUGAUGAUGACAACCUCUCCACCAUCUUUAAUAGUAGACCCAUUGGAUGAAAGCUUUCAACUGGGAACAAGCUCAAGCUCAACAUAAUCAGACUCGAAAAAAAGCCGGGACAGCCAAAGGAGACUUGCAGUACAAACAAAUCUUCUGCAAGAGGUGGGUGGUGAAGAAGGUGUACGAGCCCAGAACCCACUACUUCAGGGAGAGGCUUGUCCACCUGACUGUGGAGCAAAGAAAGGACCAGAGAGUUGUAUACAAGGAGCCAGAGUCACAGCUCCCCAAACUCAACAUCCCUGCCAACAUCGCCACAGCGCCAAAGCCUGCUAAACCCGCUGCCAUGACCCAACACAAGACAAGGUUCACCAGCUGAAGAACAUUCUGGAACAUUAAACCAACACAACAUCCCUAUUCAGUUAGACUGAUGUUGUAGUAUAAUAUUACUCCAGUGCUAGCCUCCCUACACUGGCUUCCUGUUAAGGCAAGGGCUGAUUUCAAGGUUUUACUGCUAACCUACAAAGCAUUACAUGGGCUUGCUCCUACCUAUCUUUCCGAUUUGGUCCUGCCGUACAUACCUACACGUACGCUACGGUGACAAGAUGCAGGCCUCCUAAUUGUUCCUAGAAUUUCUAAGCAAACGGCUGGAGGUAGGGCUUUCUCCUAUAGAGCUCCAUUUUUAUGGAAUGGUCUGCCUACCAAUGUGAGAGACGCAGACUCAGUCUCAACCUUUAAGUCUUUACUGAAGACUUAUCUCUUCAGUAGGUCCUAUGAUUAAGUAUAGUCUGGCCCAGGAGUGUGAAGGUGAACGGAAAGGCUGGAGCAACGAACCGCCCUUGCUGUCUCUGCCUUGCCGGUUCCCCUCUUUCCACUGGGAUUCUCUGCCUCUAACCCUUUUACAGGGGCUGAGUCACUGGCUUACUGGUGUUCUUCCAUGCCGUCCAUGGGAGGGGUGCGUCACUUGAGUGGGUUGAGUCACUGACGUGGUCUUCCUGUCUGGGUUGGCGCCCCCCCUUGGGUUGUGCCAUGGCGGAGAUCGUUGUGGGAUUAUACUCGGCCUUGUCUUAGGACGGACCUGAGCCCUAGGACCAUGCCUCAGGACUACCUGGUAUGAUGACUCCUUGCUGUCCCCAGUCCACCUGGCCGUGCUGCUGCUCCAGUUUCAACUGUUCUGCCUGCGGCUAUGGAACCCUGACCUGUUCACCGGACGUGCUUGUUGCACCCUCGACAACUACUAUGAUUAUUAUUAUUUGACCAUGCUGGUCAUUUAUGAACAUUUUAACAUCUUGACCAUGUUCUGUUAUAAUAUCCACCCUGCACAGCCAGAAGAGGACUGGCCACCCCUCAUAGCCUGGUUCCUCUCUAGGUUUCUUCCUAGGUUUUUGGCCUUUCUAGGGAGUUUUUCCUAGGGAGUUUUUCCUAGCCACCGUGCUUCUUUCACAUGCUUUGCUUGCUGUUUGGGGUUUUAGGCUGGGUUUCUGUACAGCACUUUGAGAUAUCAGCUGAUGUACGAAGGGCUAUAUAAAAAUAAAUUUGAUUGAUUAAUAUAGAAUACCUAGUAUGCUCACAACUGCAUUGUGGUAUAGAUAUUGCUAGCUCUUGUACAUAUGUUUCAUACAUAUGUUUAACAAGUCAGACGCGAAGGAUUUACUUCAGACGGGAUUUACCCUCAUCCACAUAAUCUGCCUUUACCAUCGGUCCUAUUAGCCAACGUUCAAUCAUUGGAUAAUAAAAUAGACAAACUAUGAUCACGUAUAUCCUACCAACGGGAUAUAAAAAAAUGUAAUAUCUUAUGUUUAACUGAGUCGUGGCUGAACGACGACAUGAAUAACAUGCAGCUGGCGGGUUUUAAGCUGUAUCGGCAGGAUAGGACAGCGGCGAUCUAUGUAUAUUUGUAAACAACAGCUGGUGCAUGAAAUCUAAUGAAGGAUAUGGCUUGUGGUGAGAUAUUGUGUAGCUAAAGGUAAUGUGUCAGCCUAUUAAUUAGGAAAAUAUAAAAAAUUGCCUAUUACUAGGCUAUUCAAAAUAAUGGACUAUAAUUGUAGAAUAACUCUGUUAGCUGCUCUGCACAAUCAAUGAACCAACAGCGUUGCCUAGACCAGUGGUUCCCAAACUGUGGACAUGCCCCCUAGGGGGGCUGCGACGGGUCAGCAAGGGCGGCACGGGGGUCCCCCACCUCCCAAAUGAAAAAAAUAAAUAAUAAUGGAACACAGUCCGGCUUUAAACUUUCUGUUGAAAGUUGUAAUAGUAGAAUGCACAAGGUGCAAAUUCGAAAUCGGGUAGCGCAUCAUCAGUUCCUCUUGUCAUUACAGUCAUUGCAUACCUUAGAGAGCUAUUUAUAACUUCAGAAAUCAACUAGCCCAUGUCAGCUAAUGUUUUCUUAUCUAGGUUUUUUAGCCCAUAGAUAUUGUUGUAAUUUUUUUGUCACUCAUUUAUGUUUAUUUAUUUUUUGUAUUUUACCCCCCUCUUUGUCCCCAAUUUUGAUCUUGUCUCCUUGCUGCAACUCCCCAACGGGCUCGGGAGGCGAAGUUCGAGUAAUGCGUCCCCCGAAACCACGCUUCUUAGCACCCGCCUGCUUCCCCUGAACCACGCUUUUUUGCACACGCCUGCUUAAUCAAGAAGCCAGCCGCACCAAUGUUUUGGAGGAAACGCCAUUCAACUGACGACCGAAGUCUGCCUGCAGGCACCCGGCCAGCCACAAAGAGUCACUAGAGCGCAAUGAGCCAAGUAAAGCGCCUCCCGGCCAAACCCUCCCCUAAACCCGGAUGACGCUGGGCCAAUUUUGCGCCGCCCUAUUGGACUCCCGAUCACAGCCGGUUGGGAUACAGCCCGAGAUCUAACCCGGGUCUGUAGUGAUGCCUCUAGUGCUGUGAUGCAGUGUCUUAGACUGCUGCACCACUCGGGAGGCCAGGCACAAAUUUUUUUGUCACUCAAAAUACACAACAAACAUUAGACAUGGCAAAAUGUAUAGUAUUGCAAGAAAAUUUGCUUUUAAACUGCAAAAUGUGCUUUGCACCACAUGACAAAUUGUGUAUAAUUGCUUGAAAUAAAAUUGCAAAAUUCUCUCCACCAACAAGAGGGUUGUGAACAGUUUGUGUCAUGAACAGUGCUUGUGCCCAUAGAAAAAGACGUGGUCUAUGCGCGCAGGGGGGGCGCGGGAUGUUCUCCAAGUUUGUGAAUCCCUGGCCUAGACCAGGGAUGGGCAACUUUGAUGGGGGUGG
rnacentral:lncRNA from 1 species